UAUUUGCCCUGCAUUUUUCGCAUGCUGGUUUUGUCCAUUUGCAUCUUCAUUUAAUUUAUUUCUCUAGCCUUGUAGUUCCUGUUAACUAGAUGUUAGCUCCAAAGUUUGAUUCGUGUUUGAUUUACCUUUAUGGGUGAGAAUUAUUCGUAGGUGGUGCUGUGUACUUCUUGUUUUGUAUCAGGAGGCAUGUAAGGUCUGACGAGUCCACUCUUUGAGAUGCUAAGGUUGAUCUAUGAGUACAACCCUUGACAGCUGGAUCUUUCCAGAUCACUCACUCUGAGGGAGGUCAGCUGUCACCUUGUGAGGAGGGGCCCAUGUGGUGAGGGAUUGAAGCCCUCUGCCAGUAGCCAUGUGAGUGAGUUUAGAAGUGCAUCCUCCGGCCCCCAGUCAAGCCUUCAGAUGACUACAGCACAGCUCAAAGGCCCAAAACCAACAGCUAAGCUGCUCUCAGAUUCCUGAUCUGCAGAAACUGCAAGCUUGGCUAUCGCGGACAUUGCUGCUAUGAACACUGGGGUGCAUAUGGCCCUUCUUUU